AUCAGACAUCAGCAGGAGCACACCCACAAAUGGAUGGCCAGAGAGUUUUAACAUGCAAGUACCAAGUAGCACCACUGCCUUAAAUCUAUGCAACCCGUCUGACCAGCCCAGGAGUCACCAGGUUCCUCGCACGGGGCACAGGGGCUGGAGAGUUGGAGAGGCAGAAGCAUGUGGCAGGAGGAAGCAGUGAGAAAGAGAAGGGAGAGGAAUUCUGGUAUUCUUCCAGCAUCUUCAAUUGGAAGGAACCUUGAAGAAACCUUGCUUGUGAACCCAGUAUAUUUGGACUUUCAGUGGUCAAGGUAACACUCCAACGUGGAGUUGUGACACACUGCCUGAUUCAGCACUGGACACAGCAGACCAGACACAUGGA
rnacentral:lncRNA from 1 species